rnacentral:rRNA from 1 species
UACGUAGGGUGCGAGCGUUAAUCGGGAUUACUGGGCGUAAAGCGUGCGCAGGCGGUUUGUUAAGCCAGAUGUGAAAGCCCCGGGCUCAACCUGGGAACUGCGUUUGGUACUGGCAAGCUAGAGUACGGCAGAGGGGGGUGGAAUUCCACGUGUAGCAGUGAAAUGCGUAGAGAUGUGGAGGAACACCGAUGGCGAAGGCAGCCCCCUGGGCCGAUACUGACGCUCAGGCACGAAAGCGUGGGGAGCAAACAGG